rnacentral:lncRNA from 1 species
CAAAGAUCUUCUCCUCUGAAACUACUGAACCAAUUACAACCAAACUUUAGCUGAAUGAUCCUUAGGGUAUCUAGAAUAAAGAUUGUGUUUUAUUUUCCAUUUUGUGAAAAAAACAUGGCCGCCAUGGCUAAAAAUAGAACAUGGGGGUAAAAUGCAGUUUUUGGCUUAUAUCUCAAAAACGAAAGCAUUUAGAGCAAAUCUGACAGGGGUAAAAAUGUUCAUUAGGUCAAGAUCUAUCAGCCCUGAAAUUUUCAGAUGAAUCAAACAACCCAUUGUUGGGUUGCUGCACUUAAUUGGUAAUUUUAAGGAAAUUUUGCAGUUUUUGGUCAUUAUCUUGAAUAUUAUUAUAGAUAAAGAUAAACUGUAAACAGCAAAAAUGAUCAGCAAAGUAAGAUCUACAAAUAAUGUGACCAAAAUUGUCAAUUGACCCCUUAAGGGGUUAUUGUCCUUUAAUGACAAUUUUUCACAAUUUGUUCAUCAUAUUUGCUAACUUUAAAAAAUCUUCUCCUCUAAAACUACUCAACCAAAUUCAACCAAACUUCAACUGAAUGAUCAGUAGGGUGUAUAAAAUAAAGUUUGUGUUUUAUUUUCUAUUUCGUCAAAAAACAUGGCCGUCAUGGCUAAAAAUAGAACACAGGGUAAAAUGCAGUUUUUGGCUUAUAUCUCAAAAACUCCAGCAUUUAGAGCAAAUAAGACAAGAAGUUAAAGUAUUUAUUAGGUCAAGGUCUACCUGUCCUGAAAUUUUCAGCCGAAUUGGGUAACUGGUUUUUCAGGUAUAAUGCCCCUGAAUUGGUGAUUUUGAAGACAUUUUGCAGUUUUUGGUUAUUAUCUUGAAUAUUAUUAUAGAUACAGAUAAACUGUUAAUAGCAAAAUUGUUAAACAAAGUAAUAUCUACAAAUAAGUCAAUUUGACCAAAAUUGUCAAUUGACCCCUUAAGGAGUUAUUGCCCUUUAAAGACUUUUUCACAAUUUGUUCAUCAUGUUGACUUACUUUAAAAAAUCUUCUCCUUUGAAACUGCUGUAUCAAUUUCAGCCAAACUUAGGCUAAAUGAGUUUCAGAGUAUCUAGUAUAAAUUUUAUAUUUUAUUUCCUUGUAUGUCAAGAAACAUAGCUCCUAUGGCUAAAAUAGAACAUAGGAGAAAAUGAUUUUUUUUUGCUUUUGAAGAAAAUAGGAC